UACAAUAAUACCUAUAAUAUACUUUUCAGUUUUCAUAUUAUUAUUACUUGUAAGGAGAAUCUAAUUAACCUACAAUAAUUUUACCUAGUGUUAGCAUUGGUAACACUGCGACCCAGUCAGUGACUAGGGCGUAGUAACUCGGCUGUAGUUAGUUAUUUUUUUUUUUUUUUUUAUAGUUAGUAUUCUUGUCUAAAGUUAUAAGCCGACGGUCCGGAAAAGCUGUGUGCGUCCAACCGUCUACUGUUUUUUUUGGUUUACUUUUAAUAAAUUCUACCUAUGUAUAAAAUACGACUCGUAAAAUUAAUAUCCUGACACCUUUAGUUUACACCAGAGAUACCGGCCGAAAUUAGAUAUUUAAACGAAGAAUAACUAUUUUAGUAAUUUUAUUACAUACGUAUAUUUAAAUUCAUUAUUUCAAGUUAUUGUCCAUGUGGCUAUGUGUACCACAUUGUUACGAACCAUUAAUUCACACUGUUUUACGGUAAGUAGGUUUUGACUCAAAAGUUAAUAACAAAAAUUUAAUAAUUAAAAUAUAAUAAAUGCGAUAUUUUCGUCAACAAUUAAUGCAAUCUACCGUAUUACUAUUUAGUACUAUUUAGUAAUAAGAAAUAGUAAAAUAUAAAUAAAUAAUACCAUUUCUUUUAUGAUCCUAAUAAAAUAAUAUAGGUACAAUAACCGACAAACACAUCAAUGUAAAACGAAGAUUUCCCAGGUUAAACUAUGAGAGGCGAUUGUAAACUCUCCCGAUUUUAAUGAUAUGUAAACUCUCCCGAUGGUAAACUCUCCCGGGUUAAGUCCAAUACUACCUGACGGGAACAUGUAAACUCUCCCGGGUCUUCUUCAGUACUACUAACUAAAAGCUAGAGGAGCCUGGGGCAUUAUUCGUAUUACAGAGUUAAUAACACUAAAAUAAUUCAGUUAAUAAUAAAAAUCAUUGUUGCUGUGAGCUAUAAUAUUAUAGUCGAAAUACUACUUUUCAUGAUAAUUGGAACACACUUAUUUCAAAAACGUAACA